rnacentral:rRNA from 1 species
UUUAAUUAUUUACAAAAAGAAUAAUCUUACUAGGGUUUAACAUAUCUCUUAAUCCACUUCGAAAGAGGAAUCUUCUUUAGAAAUGCAAGCAUAGGUAGUGCAUAAUUACCAUGAGCUCAUGCCAUGAGGUGUAAAUUUUAGUCUGGUAAUGAGCGCAACCCUCGUGUUUAGUAAUUGCAAGUCUUUAGUCUUAAUCCCCGUAUA